rnacentral:rRNA from 1 species
CAGUAGCCGCGGGAAUACGAAGGGGGCUAGCGUUGCUCAGAAUGACUGGGCGUAAAGGGCGCGUAGGCGGUUUGUACAGUUGGAUGUGAAAUUCCUGGGCUUAACCUGGGGGCUGCAUUCAAUACGUGCAGGCUUGAGUGUGGAAGAGGGUUGUGGAAUUCCCAGUGUAGAGGUGAAAUUCGUAGAUAUUGGGAAGAACACCGGUGGCGAAGGCGGCAACCUGGACCAUAACUGACGCUGAGGCACGAAAGCUAGGGGAGCGAACAGGAUUAGAUACCCCUGUAGUCCCUGUCUCUUAUAC